rnacentral:rRNA from 1 species
GACGAACGCUGGCGGCGUGCCUAAUACAUGCCAGUAGAACGCUGAAGGAGGAGCUUGCUUCUCUGGAUGAGUUGCGAACGGGUGAGUAACGCGUAGGUAACCUGCCUGGUAGCGGGGGAUAACUAUUGGAAACGAUAGCUAAUACCGCAUAAUAGUAGAUGUUGCAUGACAUUUGCUUAAAAGGUGCAAUUGCAUCACUACCAGAUGGACCUGCGUUGUAUUAGCUAGUUGGUGGGGUAACGGCUCACCAAGGCGACGAUACAUAGCCGACCUGAGAGGGUGAUCGGCCACACUGGGACUGAGACACGGCCCAGACUCCUACGGGAGGCAGCAGUAGGGAAUCUUCGGCAAUGGACGGAAGUCUGACCGAGCAACGCCGCGUGAGUGAAGAAGGUUUUCGGAUCGUAAAGCUCUGUUGUAAGAGAAGAACGAGUGUGAGAGUGGAAAGUUCACACUGUGACGGUAUCUUACCAGAAAGGGACGGCUAACUACGU